GGUUAAGUUAGAAAGGGCGCACGGUGGAUGCCUUGACACUAGGAGUCGAUGAAGGACGGGACUAACGCCGAUAUGCUUCGGGGAGCUGUAAGUAAGCUUUGAUCCGAAGAUUUCCGAAUGGGGAAACCCACUAUACGUAAUGGUAUGGUAUCCUUACCUGAAUACAUAGGGUAUGGAAGACAGACCCAGGGAACUGAAACAUCUAAGUACCUGGAGGAAGAGAAAGCAAAUGCGAUUUCCUGAGUAGCGGCGAGCGAAACGGAACAUAGCCCAAACCAAGAGGCUUGCCUCUUGGGGUUGUAGGACAUUCUAUACGGAGUUACAAAGGAACGAGGUAGACGAAGCGACCUGGAAAGGUCCGUCGUAGAGGGUAACAACCCCGUAGUCGAAACUUCGUUCUCUCUUGAAUGUAUCCUGAGUACGGCGGAACACGUGAAAUUCCGUCGGAAUCUGGGAGGACCAUCUCCCAAGGCUAAAUACUCCCUAGUGAUCGAUAGUGAACCAGUACCGUGAGGGAAAGGUGAAAAGCACCCCGGAAGGGGAGUGAAAGAGAUCCUGAAACCGUGUGCCUACAAAUAGUCAGAGCCCGUUAAUGGGUGAUGGCGUGCCUUUUGUAGAAUGAACCGGCGAGUUACGAUCCCGUGCGAGGUUAAGCUGAAGAGGCGGAGCCGCAGCGAAAGCGAGUCUGAAUAGGGCGUUUAGUACGUGGUCGUAGACCCGAAACCAGGUGAUCUACCCAUGUCCAGGGUGAAGUUCAGGUAACACUGAAUGGAGGCCCGAACCCACGCACGUUGAAAAGUGCGGGGAUGAGGUGUGGGUAGCGGAGAAAUUCCAAUCGAACCUGGAGAUAGCUGGUUCUCCCCGAAAUAGCUUUAGGGCUAGCCUUAAGUGUAAGAGUCUUGGAGGUAGAGCACUGAUUGAACUAGGGGUCCUCAUCGGAUUACCGAAUUCAGUCAAACUCCGAAUGCCAAUGACUUAUCCUUAGGAGUCAGACUGCGAGUGAUAAGAUCCGUAGUCAAGAGGGAAACAGCCCAGAUCGCCAGCUAAGGUCCCAAAGUGUGUAUUAAGUGGAAAAGGAUGUGGAGUUGCUUAGACAACUAGGAUGUUGGCUUAGAAGCAGCCACCAUUUAAAGAGUGCGUAAUAGCUCACUAGUCGAGUGACUCUGCGCCGAAAAUGUACCGGGGCUAAAUACACCACCGAAGCUGCGAAUUGAUACCGAUGGUAUCAGUGGUAGCCUAAGCCGAGGCCGACAGGCGUAGGCGAUGGACAACAGGUUGAUAUUCCUGUACCACCUCUUUAUCGUUUGAGCAAUGGAGGGACGCAGAAGGAUAGAAGAAGCGUGCGAUUGGUUGUGCACGUCCAAGCAGUUAGGCUGAUAAGUAGGCAAAUCCGCUUAUCGUGAAGGCUGAGCUGUGAUGGGGAAGCUCCUUAUGGAGCGAAGUCUUUGAUUCCCCGCUGCCAAGAAAAGCUUCUAGCGAGAUAAAAGGUGCCUGUACCGCAAACCGACACAGGUAGGCGAGGAGAGAAUCCUAAGGUGUGCGAGAGAACUCUGGUUAAGGAACUCGGCAAAAUGACCCCGUAACUUCGGGAGAAGGGGUGCUUUCUUAACGGAAAGCCGCAGUGAAUAGGCCCAAGCGACUGUUUAGCAAAAACACAGCUCUCUGCGAAGCCGUAAGGCGAAGUAUAGGGGGUGACACCUGCCCGGUGCUGGAAGGUUAAGGAGAGGGGUUAGCGUAAGCGAAGCUCUGAACUGAAGCCCCAGUAAACGGCGGCCGUAACUAUAACGGUCCUAAGGUAGCGAAAUUCCUUGUCGGGUAAGUUCCGACCCGCACGAAAGGUGUAACGAUUUGGGCACUGUCUCAACCAGAGACUCGGUGAAAUUAUAGUACCUGUGAAGAUGCAGGUUACCCGCGACAGGACGGAAAGACCCCGUGGAGCUUUACUGUAGCCUGAUAUUGAAUUUUGGUACAGUUUGUACAGGAUAGGCGGGAGCCAUUGAAACCGGAGCGCUAGCUUCGGUGGAGGCGCUGGUGGGAUACCGCCCUGACUGUAUUGAAAUUCUAACCUACGGGUCUUAUCGACCCGGGAGACAGUGUCAGGUGGGCAGUUUGACUGGGGCGGUCGCCUCCUAAAGUGUAACGGAGGCGCCCAAAGGUUCCCUCAGAAUGGUUGGAAAUCAUUCGUAGAGUGCAAAGGCAUAAGGGAGCUUGACUGCGAGACCUACAAGUCGAGCAGGGACGAAAGUCGGGCUUAGUGAUCCGGUGGUUCCGCAUGGAAGGGCCAUCGCUCAACGGAUAAAAGCUACCCCGGGGAUAACAGGCUUAUCUCCCCCAAGAGUCCACAUCGACGGGGAGGUUUGGCACCUCGAUGUCGGCUCAUCGCAUCCUGGGGCUGUAGUCGGUCCCAAGGGUUGGGCUGUUCGCCCAUUAAAGCGGUACGCGAGCUGGGUUCAGAACGUCGUGAGACAGUUCGGUCCCUAUCCGUCGUGGGCGUAGGAAAUUUGAGAGGAGCUGUCCUUAGUACGAGAGGACCGGGAUGGACGCACCGCUGGUGUACCAGUUGUUCUGCCAAGGGCAUAGCUGGGUAGCUAUGUGCGGAAGGGAUAAGUGCUGAAAGCAUCUAAGCAUGAAGCCCCCUCAAGAUGAGAUUUCCCAUAGCGUAAGCUAGUAAGAUCCCUGAAAGAUGAUCAGGUUGAUAGGUUCGAGGUGGAAGCAUGGUGACAUGUGGAGCUGACGAAUACUAAUAGAUCGAGGACUUAACCAU
rnacentral:rRNA from 1 species